rnacentral:lncRNA from 1 species
AAGCUAUGAAGGUUAAGUACUUUUGUGAAGCAUCACUGCACAGUUGAAAAAUAUAUGGCAAAUAGAUAUCCAAAAUAGAUGAUGUUGAGAGAUAGUGGGAGGGGUUGAAUGGAGCUGAAGGGUGGGACUAAUAACAGGAUAAACAGUGUAAAACAUACAGGGUCUGUAAAAUGUAUAUAGGUUCAGAACUUUUGUGAAAUAGCACAGUUACAAAUAGAAAUCAAACUGGAUGGACAUCAGAAAUAGAGGAAGGACUAAAAACAAACAAAAUACAACUAUUGUAAAAUAGAUUGUGUCUGUAAAAUGUGUAUAAGAUGUGUAAACUGAAGGUAGAAGCCUAAGUGUUUAUUAGUUUACUCCAGUUGGGGUAGGGGUGGUAGGAUUUGCGGGGAAUAAUAAAGGUAUAUUCUUUAACAAAUAUGUAUAUCUAUAUAGGUAUGUGUAUGUAUAUAUGUGUAUAUGUAUGCCUGCGUGUAUAUAUAUGGAUAUAUUUACCCAAACAAUAUAUGGGGAUUGGAAAUGAUGCAGAUAAUUACAUUGAUGGAAGCAACAAUCUUUCCACAAUAUUAAGCUGAUCCAACCCUUUAAAUGUAAAAAAUAAAUUAAAUAAAAAAACGAAUAUUUACUAAAUAAACUGAAGUAAAAAAUGUAAUAAAAAGUAACACAAUAAUAUAACAAUAACGAGGCUAUAUACAAGGGGUGCCGGUACCGAGUCAAUGUGCGGGGGUACAGGUUAGUCGAGGUAACUGUACACCGCUUGCCGUGCGGUAGCAGAGAGAACAGUCUAUGACUUGGGUGACUGGAGUCUUUGACAAUAUUUUGGGCCUUCCUCUGACACCGCCUAGUAUAUAGGUCCUGGAUGGCUGGAAGCUUGGCCCCAGUGAUCUACUGGGCCGUACGCACUACCCUCUGUAGAUCCUUACGGUCAGAUGCCGAGCAGUUGCCAUACCAGGCGGUGAUGCAACCGGUCAGAAUGCGCUCGAUGGUGCAGCUGUAGAACUUUCUGAGGGGGAAAAGGUGUUGUCGUGCUCUCUUCACGACUGUCUUGGUGUGUUUGGACCAUGAUAGUUCAUUGGUGAUGUGGACACCAAGGAACUUGAAACUCUCGACCCGCUCCACUACAGCCCUGUCACUUAAUGGGGGCCUGUUUGGCCCUCCUUUUCCUGUAGUCCACGAUCAGCUCCUUUGUCUUGCUCGCAUUGAGGGAGAGGUUGUUGUCCUGACACCACACUGCUAGGUCUCUGACCUCCUCCCUAUAGGCUGUCUCAUCGUUGUCGGUGAUCAGCCCUACCACUUUUGCGUCAUCAGCAAAUUUAAUGAUGGUGUUGGAGUCGUGCUUCGUUACGCAGUCGCCGGUGAACAGGGAGUGCAGGACGGGACUAAGCACAGACUCCUGAGGGGCCCCAGUGUUGAGGAUCAGCAUGGCAGAUGUGUUGUUGCCUCCCUUAACACCUGGGGGCGGCCCGUCAGGAAGUCCAGAAUCCGGUUGCAGAGGGAGGUCUUUAGUCCUAGGGUCAUUAGCUUAGUGAUGAGCUUUGUGGGUACUGUGGUGUUGAACGCUGAGCUGCAGUCAAUGAACAGCAUUCUCACAUAGGUGUUCCUUUUGUCCAGGUGGGAAAGGGCAGUGUGGAGUGCGACUGAGAUUGCGUCAUCUGUGGAUCUUUUAGGGUGGUAUGCGAAUUGGAGUGGGUCUAGGGUUUCCGGGAUGAUGGUGUUGAUGUGAGCCAUGACCAGCCUUUCACAGCACUUCAUGGCUACCGACAUGAUAGUGAUAGUCAUUUAGGCCGGUUACCUUCGCUUUCUUGGGCACGGAGACUAUGGUGUUCUGCUUGAAACAUGUAGGUAUUACAGACUCGGUCAGGGAUAGGUUGAAAAUGUAAGUGAAGACAUUUCUUAGUAGGUCGACGCAUGCUCUGAGUACAUGUCUUGGUAAUUUGUCUGACUGGUGAAUUUAUAAUAAGAAUCAAUAAUAUCUGCUGUCAUUACAUUGGGGACAUGCGUAAUAGCAUGCUUGCCCCAUGAAAUUAUGUCAUAGACCAAAUCUGAAAGGUCCCUAAAUCAAAUACACAAAACAACAACUUCUACCUCUGUAUGACAUCACCACUCUACCCUCAAUGCUGUGAGAGAACUUUAGGCUCUAUGUCGGCCACUUCCUUCCCUCCCUCCCUCCAUCCCUGCCUCCAUCCCUCCAAUGUCACCCCUUUCAAUAGUCCCCCCCUGACAAAUAGCCCACUUUGGUAGCCCUUCACUGUGUGGCUCAUCUGAGAAGAGAAACGGAAUAGAAACCCUUGACAAUGCUGAGGGUGCAGGGGGAAUAGGGCCCAACAGCCAUUCAGCAGGUGCACCUCUGUGGCCCCCCCACUCAGUUCCCACACAUAUCAGUGAGAGUGGUCUCCAGCCCUAGAGAGUUACCCCUGAAUCGCAGUCCAAAUAUCAGGUAUCGAUCAAUUAAUGGUGGAGAACAAGGGCUACUCCACUGGGGGUGAUGUCCAUGCAGGGCUCCCAUCCAGUGUCCCAGUAUCCCACCCUGAAACCUCCCUGUCCCUCCCCAGGCUCGGAACGCACAGAAGCACUCAUUUGCAACCCUAUCUGUGUGGCCGGGUCCUGGUGAAUGUGUGCAAGCUGCGAUGGGAGGGACUGAGAUGCUAUCUGGGGAUGGCUGUGGCUGUGAGAACCAGCACUGGCAUCUACUGGCAUCUUUGUUUGUCUGGGGGCAGAGUGGAGUGGUGGUGCUGUGAUGGACAGGAGGACUCCUGGAGGACAGGGAUGGGUACUGGAGUCGGGUGAAUCUGUGUGGCAGGGUUAAAGACAGCCAUGCAAGGCACAGGUACACAUUUGCAUGAGUGCACACGAACAUGCACGCAACGACAUGCAAUGACACGCACACACGCGCACACACACACACACACACACACACACACACACACACACACACACACACACACACACACACACACACUGAUGUUUCUACUAUGAUGCAUAUCAGUCUCAGUAUCUACUAGACUACUACAAUCUAUACCAUCUAGAUGGAAAAGCAAUAUGUGUGAACUUUGAACGCCUUGUAUAAUGCCUCUCCAGGAAGUGUUAUUAACUGGUGACUGUGCUCCUUAUUUGACAUUCCAUUCCUAUCAGUUCAGUGGGAAAACAUGUUUACCUAUGGUUGACGGCUGGUGAUAUGCUAACGUUAAUCACUGAGUGUGUGUCUGCUAAUUGCAUUCUUGACCAAGAGCAAACAGAUUUGAUCCCCUGUGCUCAUAAAGCAUGAUGGAACAUCAUACCAGGUGAACUGAGGUUCCCAGCAUGCAUUGUACAGUUCAUGAGGGAAGAGCCCCAUUCCAGAGUGGAAUAUAUCCAACAUGUAAGCACAGAAUAACAACCAUACUUAAGGUUUUCUGAUGGAUAACACUGCACAUGGCCUGACCCGUUCUAUUCCCACACUGGUCCUCUCCCCCUACAGCUAAUGCCCCUCGUUUACUACCACAAACUUAGUGUCCAUUCUGUGGGGGGUUCUUUAUAGCGUGUAGAAUGUGGUAAAAGUGUUUACAUGGCAUUUCCUGCCAGUCAUGGUAGACCACCUCCAUGGUAACCCCAGCAGCAAACAGAGCUGGGAGUCUCAAACAGUUUUAUAUAAUAUCACACAAAUGUGCCUAAUUUGUUUAUUAAUAACUUUUCAUGUUCAAAAUUGUGCACUCUCCUCAAACAAUAGCAUGGUAUUAUUUCACUGUAAUAGCUACUGUAAAUUGGACAUUGCAGUUAGAUUAACAAAAAUGUAUGCUUUCUGUCAAUAUCAGAUAUGUCUAUGUCCUGGGAAAUGUUCUUGUCACUUACAACCUCAUGCUAAUCGUAUUAGUCUAUGUUAGCUCAACCGUCCCAUGGAAGGGACACCGAUCCCGAAGAUGUGUUAACUAACAUUGGGGCACAUUUCACCGCCUUAGGCCUCCAGUCAGUCUCGUUAGUCCAGUGAUUGCUUGCUAUGUGACAUUGGUGGAUUCAUGUGCCAUUGGUGGGUGUAUGUGCCAUUGGUGAGUACAUGUGACAUUGGUGGGUGUAUGUGCCAUUGGUGGGUGUAUGUGACAUUGGUGAAUACAUGUGACAUUGGUGGGUUCAUGUGCCAUUGGUGGGUGUAUGUGCCAUUGGUGGGUGUAUGUGACAUUAGUGGGUACAUGUGACAUUGGUGGGUGUAUGUGCCAUUGGUGGGUACUAUGUGACAUUGGUGGGUGUAUGUGGAAUUGGUGGCUGUAUGUGACAUUGGUAGGUGUAUGUGACAUUGGUGGGUGUAUGUGGAAUUGGUGGGUGUAUGUGCCAUUGGUGAGUGCCUGUGCCAUUGGUAGGUGUAUGUGCCAUUGGUGAGUACAUGUGACAUUGGUGGGUGUAUGUGCCAUUGGUGGGUGUAUGUGACAUUGGUGAAUACAUGUGACAUUGGUGGGUUCAUGUGCCAUUGGUGGGUGUAUGUGCCAUUGGUGGGUGUAUGUGACAUUGGUGGGUACAUGUGACAUUGGUGGGUGUAUGUGACAUUGGUGGGUGUAUGUGGAAUUGGUGGGUGUAUGUGCCAUUGGUGAGUGCCUGUGCCAUUGGUGGGUGUAUGUGCCAUUGGUGGGUGUAUGUGACAUUGGUGGGUACAUGUGACAUUGGUGGGUGUAUGUGCCAUUGGUGGGUACUAUGUGACAUUGGUGGGUGUAUGUGGAAUUGGUGGGUGUAUGUGACAUUGGUAGGUGGUGUAUGUGACAUUGGUAGGUGUAUGUGACAUUGGUGGGUGUAUGUGGAAUUGGUGGGUGUAUGUGCCAUUGGUGAGUGCCUGUGCCAUUGGUGGGUGUAUGUGCCAUUGGUGAGUACAUGUGACAUUGGUGAGUGUAUGUGCCAUUGGUGAGUACAUGUGACAUUGAUGGGUGUAUGUACCAUUGGUGGGUGUAUGUGCCAUUGGUGGGUGUAUGUGACAUUGGUGAAUACAUGUGACAUUGGUGGGUUCAUGUGACAUUGAUGGGUGUAUGUGCUAUUGGUGGGUGUAUGUGACAUUGGUAGGUGUAUGUGACAUUGGUGGGUGUAUGGGCCAUUGGAGGGUGUAUGGGCCAUUGGAGGGUGUAUGUGCCAUUGCUGGGUGUAUAUACCAUUGGUGGGUACAUGUAUGCGCUGUUGUGUUAUAAUGUAACUUUCAGAGACUAUUCACUUGAUCACAAGAAAAUAUUGUAUCGUUAUUCCAGCUAUAUUUUUGUUGCAUUUUAUUAAAUUUUUUAUGUGUCAUAUUUUACAUGACACAGUGACCAAAUUAAAGAUAUUGAACUAAAGCUACAUUCCUAAAUAGCCUACACAUUUAAAAUUAUUCAAUGUAUUUUCAAUGUAAUUCUUCUAAUGAAUUUGGCAUUUGACUUCAUGUAAGAGUAUAGUCAGAUAAAAGGUUAUAGUUGAUAGAGGCUCAUCUCAUGCUACUGGAAUCUUCAUGGGCUUUAUUUUAACACAGCUGAUUAAAAUAGUGCUGUCUUCGGUGUUCAGAGUGGCUUGUGUUCUCCUUUCCUCUCUCUGAAAGGCUGUGGAGCGAGAAACCUACAAUUUCUGUUACCAGACAAGGGGGAGAGGAUAGAGGGAGAGAUGAUCGAGGGAGAGAUGAUAGAGGGGGAGAUAAUAGAGGGAGAGAGGAUAGAGGGAGAGAGGGUAAAGAGGGGAUAGAGAACAGAGAAAGUCCCCUGUGUCCCAUACCACCUCCCCCUUCACCACCCCACAAGACCAAAGGGGGAAGUCGGGAGGAAGUGAGCAUUGCUAAACAAGGGAGGUCUUUAGGACUUAGAGGAACCCUCCCUCCCUCUGCUUUGAGUGACAUGUUGUUGAAAGACUUACGUGUGCUCCGCCAUUGUUGUUAUGACAACAGGGCUGGUACAGUCCUGAACCACCUGUGACGCUGACCCCAAACGUGACCUCUUCACCUGAGGUCACUUCCUCAUUGGAACUGAAGUAUGCCUGCGCAGCCCUGAAUGAGUGUGUGCUCUACAUAGGCCUUCCAUUGCAUUUACAUUUUUACAUGUACGUCAUUUAGCAGACGCUCUUAUCCAGAGCGACUUACAAAUUGGUGCAUUCACCUUAUGAUAUCCAGUGGAACAACCACUUUACAAUAGUACAUCUAUAUAUAUUUUUUUUUGGGGGGGGUUAGAAGGAUUACUAUAUCCUAUCCCAGGUAUUCCUUAAAGAGGUGGGGUUUCAGGUGUCUACGGAAGGUGGUGAUUGACUCCGCUGUCCUGGCGUCGUGAGGGAGCUUGUUCCACCAUUGGGGUGCCAGGGCAGCGAACAGUUUUGACUGGGCUGAGCGGGAACUGUGCUUCCGCAGAGGUAGGGGGGCCAGCAGGCCAGAGGUGGAUGAAAGCAGUGCCCUUGUUUGGGUGUAGGGCCUGAUCAGAGCCUGAAGGUACGGAGGUGCCGUUCCCCUCACAGCUCCGUAGGCAAGCACCAUGGUCUUGUAGCAGAUGCGAGCUUCAACUGGAAGCCAGUGGAGUGUGCGGAGGAGCGGGGUGACGUGAGAGAACUUGGGAAGGUUGAACACCAGACGGGCUGCGGCGUUCUGGAUGAGUUGUAGGGGUUUAAUGGCACAGGCAGGGAGCCCCGCCAACAGUUGCAGUAAUCCAGACGGGAGAUGACAAGUGCCUGGAUUAGGACCUGCGCCGCUUCCUGUGUAAGGCAGGGUCGUACUCUGCGAAUGUUGUAUAGCAUGAACCUACAGGAUCGGGUCACACGCCGAGGCUCUUAACACUCUGGGAGGAGGACACAAUGGAGUUGUCCACCGUGAUGGCGAGAUCAUGGAAAGGGCAGUCCUUCCCCGGGAGGAAGAGCAGCUCCGUCUUGCCGAGGUUCAGCUUGAGGUGGUGAUCCAUCAUCCACACUGAUAUGUCUGCCAGACAUGCAGAGAUGCGAUUCACCACCUGGUUAUCAGAAGGGGGAAAGGAGAAGAUUAAUUGUGUGUCGUCUGCGUAGCAAUGAUAGGAGAGACCAUGUGAG